rnacentral:rRNA from 1 species
CGCCUACCAGCUAGCUCACCCCCUAAAAACCAACAACUGACUAUUAAUACCCCCUAAUAAACUAAUUCAUAAAGAUUAAAACAUUUUUCCCCCUGAGUAUGGGCGACAGAAAAGGACCCUCGAAGCAAUAGUAGUAGUACCGCAAGGGAACGCUGAAAGAGAAAUGAAACAAACCAGUAAAGCACAAAGAAGCAGAGCUUAUCCCUCGUACCUUUUGCAUCAUGAUUUAGCAAGAAGAAGCCGAGCAAAAAGAAUUUUAGUGCGGCACCCCGAAACCCGGUGAGCUACUCCAAGGCAGCCUUAUAGGGCGAACCCGUCUCUGUGGCAAAAGAGUGGGAUGAACUUUGAGUAGAGGUGAUAGACCUACCGAACCUGGUUAUAGCUGGUUGUUCAGAAAAUGAAUAGAAGUUCAGCCUUUUAUCCUCUCCCCCCACACUUAUGCUUAAGAACAAAAGAGGUUAAAAGAGUUAGUCAAAGGGGGUACAGCCCCUUUGAAAAGAACACAACCUUCCCAGAAGGGUUAAGAUCAUAACAUAUUAGGAAUGUGUGUUCUAGUUGGCCUAAAAGCAGCCACCACUGAAGAAAGCGUUAAAGCUCAUACACCAAUCCUUCCACUUAUACGGACCAAAACCUCUUAUCCCCCUACAAAUACUGAACCUUUCCAUACCCCCUUAUGGAAGAGAUUAUGCUAAUAUGAGUAAUAAGAGACUUAGAAUCUCUCCCCGCACAAGUGUACCUCGGAACGAACUAAUCGCCGACAACUAACGGCCCCAAACUAGAGGGAAAUAAAAGAUAAUGACCAAUUCACAAGAAAAGCAUCUAACCUCAACCGUUAACCUUACACCAGUGUGCCCCUAGAGGAAAGACUAAAAGAGAAAGAAGGAACUCGGCA